CCUACGGGGGACUGCAGUGAGGAAUAUUGGUCAAUGGACGAGAGUCUGAACCAGCCAAGUAGCGUGAAGGAUGACUGCCCUAUGGGUUGUAAACUUCUUGUAUAUGGGAAUAAAAUGUUCCACGUGUGGGAUUUUGUAUGUACCAUAUGAAUAAGGAUCGGCUAACUCCGUGCCAGCAGCCGCGGUAAUACGGAGGAUCCGAGCGUUAUCCGGAUUUAUUGGGUUUAAAGGGAGCGUAGGUGGAUUGUUAAGUCAGUUGUGAAAGUUUGCGGCUCAACCGUAAAAUUGCAGUUGAAACUGGCAGUCUUGAGUACAGUAGAGGUGGGCGGAAUUCGUGGUGUAGCGGUGAAAUGCUUAGAUAUCACGAAGAACUCCGAUUGCGAAGGCAGUUCACUGGACUGCAACUGACACUGAGGCUCGAAAGUGUGGGUAUCAAACAGGAUUAGAUACCCUGGUAGUC
rnacentral:rRNA from 1 species